rfam:Schistosoma haematobium scaffold40_30, whole genome shotgun sequence.
AUACAGCUUAAGAGUCCCAAAUAGGAAGAAACGCGCGUUCUGGAU